GCCUCUGUAGCUCAGUGGUAGAGCGGCUCUCUUGUAAGGAGCAGGUCGGGGGUUCAAUUCCCUCUAGAGGCU
rnacentral:tRNA from 1 species